rfam:Strongyloides stercoralis strain PV0001 genome assembly, scaffold: SSTP_contig0000015
AAACUUACCUGGCCGGGAGUCUCUGGUGAUCAAGAAGGCCAGAGCUCCGUAGUGAGGCUUCACCAUUGCACUUUAGGUUGAAGCUGACCUGCGAGGCAACCUCAAACGAGGUUAGCCCACGGCUUAAUUUUUGCGUGUGGGAGAGAUGCGUUCGCGCACUCUCCCG